ACGGGUGAGUAAUACAUCGGAACGUAUCCUGGAGUGGGGGAUAGCCCGGCGAAAGCCGGAUUAAUACCGCAUACGCUCUGAGGAGGAAAGCGGGGGACCUUCGGGCCUCGCGCUCAAGGGGCGGCCGAUGGCGGAUUAGGUAGUUGGUGGGGUAAAGGCCUACCAAGCCGACGAUCCGUAGCUGGUCUGAGAGGACGACCAGCCACACUGGGACUGAGACACGGCCCAGACUCCUACGGGAGGCAGCAGUGGGGAAUUUUGGACAAUGGGGGCAACCCUGAUCCAGCAAUGCCGCGUGUGUGAAGAAGGCCUUCGGGUUGUAAAGCACUUUUGUCCGGAAAGAAAUCAUCGGGGCCAAUACCCCUGGUGGAUGACGGUACCGGAAGAAUAAGCACCGGCUAACUACGUGCCAGCAGCCGCGGUAAUACGUAGGGUGCGAGCGUUAAUCGGAAUUACUGGGCGUAAAGCGUGCGCAGGCGGUGCUGUAAGACCGAUGUGAAAUCCCCGGGCUUAACCUGGGAACUGCAUUGGCGACUGCAGCGCUGGAGUAUGGCAGAGGGGGGUGGAAUUCCACGU
rnacentral:rRNA from 1 species